GACGAACGCUGGCGGCGUGCUUAACACAUGCAAGUCGAACGGAAAGGCCCUGCUUUUGUGGGGUGCUCGAGUGGCGAACGGGUGAGUAACACGUGAGUAACCUGCCCUUGACUUUGGGAUAACUUCAGGAAACUGGGGCUAAUACCGGAUAGGAGCUCCUGCUGCAUGGUGGGGGUUAGAAAGUUUCGGCGGUUGGGGAUGGACUCGCGGCUUAUCAGCUUGUUGGUGGGGUAGUGGCUUACCAAGGCUUUGACGGGUAGCCGGCCUGAGAGGGUGACCGGCCACAUUGGGACUUAGAUACGGCCCAGACUCCUACGGGAGGCAGCAGUAAGGAAUAUUGCACAAUGGGCGGAAGCCUGAUGCAGCAACGCCGCGUGCGGGAUGACGGCCUUCGGGUUGUAAACCGCUUUCGCCUGUGACGAAGCGUGAGUGACGGUAAUGGGUAAAGAAGCACCGGCUAACUACGUG
rnacentral:rRNA from 1 species